GAUGAACGCACAAGACGUGCCUAACACAUGCAAAUCGAAUGAAAACAAUUUAAUUAAAUUGUUUUCAUGGUGAACGGGUGAGUAACACAUAAGAAUCAGCUUUUAGAUAAGGCAUAAAAGAGUAAUAUCUUGGUAAUUCCUUAUAUGCGCAGCAGUGCUUAAAAAGGGGACUCCCGUCUAAAAACGAGCUUAUGCCUGAUUAGCUAGUUGGCGAGUUAAAAGCUCACCAAGGCGAAGAUCAGUAGCUGGCCUGAGAGGGCGGCCAGCCACAUUGGGACUGAGACACGGCCCAAACUCCUACGGGAGGCAGCAGUGAGGAAUAUUGGACAAUGGGCGCAAGCCUGAUCCAGCCAUGCCGCGUGCAGGAAGAAAGCCCUAUGGGUUGUAAACUGCUUUUAUUCACGAGGAAUAAAUCUCUUGCGAGGGAUUUUGACGUUAGUGUUUGAAUAAGCACCGGCUAACUCCGUGCCAGCCGCCGCCGUAACAC
rnacentral:rRNA from 1 species